rnacentral:rRNA from 1 species
AUGGAUGGACUCAUCCCCUUGGUCAUGAACGUUCUCAAGAAGAAGAAGGCCAUGGCCUACCACCGGUCUCUCUCCCCGGGUUCGGCAAGCGUCGACAUCGCCAAGCUCGCGGGGCAGGACCUCCCCAUGAUUCCUCGGCGCUCCAGGUGGCCGCAUGAAGGCUCCCCUGCUGCUGCUGCUCGGACAACCAUGGCCAUGGAAGCACCACUCAUGCCCAGGGGCAACACGAGACGCGUCAUGGAGCCGAUGCCACGGGAGACAUUCUCGCCGCGCACCAUGAACCGGGGCACAGGAAGGAAGCAAGCUCUCUCUGUUAAUCACGGUGAUCGUACCAGUCUUUGUUCGUGA